GUGUCUUCUUGGGUCAUUUAGAGGAAGUAAAAGUCGUAACAAGGUUUCCGUAGGUGAACCUGCGGAAGGAUCAUUACCGAACUGUCAACAGGAGUUGUUGCUGGUCCUCAGACGGGGGCAUGUGCACGCUCUGUUUACACAUCCACUCACACCUGUGCACUCGCCGUAGUUCUAUGGUCUGGGAGACCCAGUCUUCCUUCUGUAGGCCUGCUUUUUUCACAUACACGCUGUAAUAAAGUUUUAUGGAAUGUGUUCUGCGUUCAACGCAAUACAGUACAACUUUCAGCAACGGAUCUCUUGGCUCUCGCAUCGAUGAAGAACGCAGCGAAAUGCGAUAAGUAAUGUGAAUUGCAGAAUUCAGUGAAUCAUCGAAUCUUUGAACGCACCUUGCGCCCCUUGGCUAUUCCAAAGGGCAUGCCUGUUUGAGUACCGUGAACACCUCAACUCUCAUGGCCUUGCCAUGAUGAGCUUGGACUUUGGGGGUUUUGCCGGCCUUGGGGUCGGCUCCUCUCAAAUAGAUCAGCUUGCCAGUGUUUGAUGGCGUUGCAGGUGUGAUAACUAUCUACCGCUUGUGGCCGUCUGUCAGGUAACCUUCAAGUGAUGGGGGUUCGCUGGAGCUUACAAACGUCCUUCCCAGCGAGGACAGCUUUGAAUGUUCGAUCUCAAAUCAGGUAGGACUACCCGCUGAACUUAAGCAUAUCAAUAAGGCGGAGGAA
rnacentral:rRNA from 1 species